GUGAGAAGCAGAGCCUGAUACUUUCUCUUCCAGUCCAGAUUCAAGUUCAGAGCAGAGGGACUCUAGAUUAGACUGCAAGGUCAUGUCUCAUAUUCUCCCUGAGGUUUUAUAAAAAUGCUGAUGGCGGAUUUGCUCCAGGCUACAUUGUACCGUCAACAUUUUCUCCUCAGCACAGGGGAGCCUCGGUGACUGGGGGCCAUGUUGCCUUUUCUUACCGUGUUCACUAUGCCAGAAGGAAAUGUGAAAAUCCUGAAGUGUUCCUUCAGAUGGCUGAGGGAAAAAUAUGUAAAUCGGUAAAGAGAGGAAAUUCUGCUGAUCUUGGACAAGGAGCCUUUGACAAUGUUGUGUGUGUGAGACUCUGCUGAGAAGAAGGCUGCGUUGAUGACUGACUUUUCAUUUUAAGUUGGGAUCUUUUCUGCCUCCCAGCACAGAUGGAAAACUUGGUGCGUUUCAAGGAAAUAGGAUUUAGAAAAUCAAAGGCUAAUACAUUUUAGAAAAUCUUGGAUUAUGGGACAGGGGGUGGCCUGUUCUCGCCAAACACUGCGAAUCUAACCUUGAUGUUUACGUAUUCAGUUUGAAGACUGAAGCGUCUCUUUUUAACAAUGGCAGUCAAUGGUUCUGGGUGAAAUAGGGGCUCAAAAGGCUGGUGCAUUGUCUGUUUUCUCCCAUCCUUAUAAGGCCCUAUGUGUCUCGCUGGUUUCAGCAAGACAUCCUCCCCCACACAUCCACCCCCAGAGAGACUUACUGACUCUGAGUGG
rnacentral:lncRNA from 1 species